ACCUGGCUGGUUCAGCCAGUAGAGCAUGUGACUCUUGAUCUCCUGGUCAUGAGUUCAAGUCCCAUGUCAGGUC
rnacentral:tRNA from 1 species